AAGAAAUACGCUCACAAGCUUGGAAUUGUGGAGAAGUGCUAGAAGACAUGACUCAAAACCCGGAAGGCCAUGAAAAAGAACCCCAAAGUUUAGAAAUAUCUGGCAACUCAAAUCUAAUCUUCCCUGGCUUUGCUGAAGGACUCAGUAUCAUGAGCACCUUACCCGAAUGAUUAGGCUUCAAGGAGGACCAUCUUAUGUCCCUGAGGAUGUGCUUUGUUCUCAUACUACAUGUGUUCCAUAUAUGUGACAAGGAAAUACUAUGUCUCUCAUUGAGUAGCAGUGCCAUGUUACAUUUAAACUUCCUCUUCCUUUGUGCCUCAGCUUUAGACUCCUGAUAACUAAAUUUUCAGAGAUUCCGAGCAUCCGAAUAUCCAACCGAGUGCUACACAUUCCUGAAAAUCAGCCCCCAUGCCUGAAAUGUGAACACUCACAAAAUUAGAAGUCCCUUUGAAAAAUGGGAACCUAGGCGACCUGUCUCAAGAAUACA